GACGAACGCUGGCGGCGUGCUUAACACAUGCAAGUCGAACGGAAAGGCCCUGCUUUUGUGGGGUGCUCGAGUGGCGUACGGGUGAGUAACACGUGAGUAACCUGCCCUUGACUUUGGGAUAACUUCAGGAAACUGGGGCUAAUACCGGAUAGGAGCUCCUGCUGCAUGGUGGGGGUUGGAAAGUUUCGGCGGUUGGGGAUGGACUCGCGGCUUAUCAGCUUGUUGGUGGGGUAGUGGCUUACCAAGGCUUUGACGGGUAGCCGGCCUGAGAGGGUGACCGGCCACAUUGGGACUGAGAGACGGCCCAGACUCCUACGGGAGGCAGCAGUGGGGAAUAUUGCACAAUGGGCGGAAGCCUGAUGCAGCAACGCCGCGUGCGGGAUGACGGCCUUCGGGUUGUAAACCGCUUUCGCCUGUGACGAAGCGUGAGUGACGGUAAUGGGUAAAGAAGCACCGGCUAACUACGUG
rnacentral:rRNA from 1 species